UAUACACGUUGAUGAGGUUAAAAGUCCCAAUAACCUUCUUCAUGGCGGGGGAUGUUGCCAGGGUGCCAGAACAAGUCCUUGUCCAGAUCUUUGUAAACCAUUGCUCAAGCUCUGCCUCAAGGAUUCCUCAAAACAAUGCCUUGAUGAUGUAACCACGACUCUUCACUUGGAAAGGAAUGACGUCAUUUACGGUUCCGUGAUCGGAAACACCACUAAUCCUAUUCUGCUUGAAGUGGACAGCUGGGAUAAAUAUCAUGAUCGACUUUCUUUGGAAGUGUAUGACAUACAGUCUUCUACUCUACCCCUUUUGUUGAAAUCAGAAUUCACGGAUCAUGACCUCCAUA